GCCGCCCGGCGCGCGCCGCCCCCCUGCCUCGCGGCGCGGGGUCUCGCGGGCCCCGCUCCCGCCCUCCGCUCGCCUGGCCCGGACCGGAAGCGGCGCCGCACGGCCUGGGCCUGGCGCGGGGGGCGGGCACCGGGGCCCGGUCGGACAUGGGCAAGAAGCACAAGAAGCACAAGUCGGACAAACACCUCUACGAGGAGUAUGUAGAGAAGCCCUUGAAGCUGGUCCUCAAAGUAGGAGGGAACGAAGUCACUGAACUCUCCACGGGCAGCUCGGGGCACGACUCCAGCCUCUUCGAAGACAAAAACGAUCAUGACAAACACAAGGACAGAAAGCGGAAAAAGAGAAAGAAAGGAGAGAAGCAGAUUCCAGGGGAAGAAAAGGGGAGAAAACGGAGAAGAGUUAAGGAGGAUAAAAAGAAGCGAGAUCGAGACCGGGUGGAGAAUGAGGCAGAAAAAGACCUCCAGUGUCACGCCCCUGUGAGAUUAGACUUGCCCCCUGAGAAGCCUCUCACAAGCUCUUUAGCCAAACAAGAAGUAGAACAGACACCCCUUCAAGAAGCUUUGAAUCAACUGAUGAGACAAUUGCAGAGAAAAGAUCCAAGUGCUUUCUUUUCAUUUCCUGUGACUGAUUUUAUUGCUCCUGGCUACUCCAUGAUCAUUAAACACCCAAUGGAUUUUAGUACCAUGAAAGAAAAGAUCAAGAACAAUGACUAUCAGUCCAUAGAAGAACUAAAGGUAACU
rnacentral:sRNA from 1 species